AUGGAGACCUGUAUGAAUGGCAUAACGAGGGCUUAACUGUCUCCUUUUUCAAGUCAAUGAAAUUGAUCUCCCCGUGCAGAAGCGGGGAUAAUAACAUAAGACGAGAAGACCCUAUGGAGCUUUAGACACCAAAGCAGACUAUGUUAAAGGCCCCCAAACAAGGGACUAAACAAGGUAACUCCUGCCCUAAUGUC
rnacentral:rRNA from 1 species